rnacentral:rRNA from 1 species
UACGGGGGGAGCAAGCGUUGUUCGGAUUUACUGGGCGUAAAGGGCGCGUAGGCGGCGCGACAAGUCACUUGUGAAAUCUCUGGGCUCAACCCAGAACGGUCAAGUGAUACUGUCGUGCUAGAGUGCGGAAGGGGCAACUGGAAUUCUUGGUGUAGCGGUGAAAUGCGUAGAUAUCGAGAGGAACACCUGCGGCGAAGGCGGGUUGCUGGGCCGACACUGACGCUGAUGCGCGAAAGCCAGGGGAGCGAACGGG